GUUCUUAUCGUGUUUGGGCAGGUGCUACUUCCAUAUAUAUGUUGUGCAAAGUCGCGAUAGAUUAAGGAAGGCAUUAGUCAAAAUGAUAGUUGAGCUCUUCUCCUCGCUUACCAUCCUCUUGUUUUUGGUUUUCUUCAUAAGGAAACAAUGGUACUACAAGCUUCCUCCAAGCCCAAUGGCCUUGCCGAUUAUUGGUCACCUCCAUCUCCUUGGACCCCUAAUUCACCAUUCCUUUCGUGAGAUCUCAUCUCGCUAUGGUCCUCUGAUUUAUCUCAGGCUUGGUUCUAUAUCAGUUGUUGUAGCUUCCGCCCCAGAACUAGCCAAAGAACUUCUCAAAACGCAUGAACUCACAUUCUCUUCUCGCAAGCAUUCUAUA
rnacentral:misc_RNA from 1 species